UGCGGGGGGGGCAAGCGUUGUUCGGAAUUACUGGGCGUAAAGGGCGCGUAGGCGGCCUACUAAGUCGGACGUGAAAUCCCUCGGCUCAACCGAGGAACUGCGUCCGAUACUGGCAGGCUGGAAUCCGGGAGAGGGAUGUGGAAUUCCAGGUGUAGCGGUGAAAUGCGUAGAUAUCUGGAGGAACACCGGUGGCGAAGGCGGCAUCCUGGACCGGUAUUGACGCUGAGGCGCGAAAGCUAGGGGAGCAAACGGG
rnacentral:rRNA from 1 species